GCGGCAGGCCUAACACAUGCAAGUCGAACGGUAACAGGAAGAAGCUUGCUUCUUUGCUGACGAGUGGCGGACGGGUGAGUAAUGUCUGGGAAACUGCCUGAUGGAGGGGGAUAACUACUGGAAACGGUAGCUAAUACCGCAUAACGUCGCAAGACCAAAGAGGGGGACCUUCGGGCCUCUUGCCAUCGGAUGUGCCCAGAUGGGAUUAGCUUGUUGGUGGGGUAACGGCUCACCAAGGCGACGAUCCCUAGCUGGUCUGAGAGGAUGACCAGCCACACUGGAACUGAGACACGGUCCAGACUCCUACGGGAGGCAGCAGUGGGGAAUAUUGCACAAUGGGCGCAAGCCUGAUGCAGCCAUGCCGCGUGUAUGAAGAAGGCCUUCGGGUUGUAAAGUACUUUCAGCGGGGAGGAAGGGAGUAAAGUUAAUACCUUUGCUCAUUGACGUUACCCGCAGAAGAAGCACCGGCUAACUCCGUGCCAGCAGCCGCGGUAAUACGGAGGGUGCACACGUUAAUCGGAAUUACUGGGCGUAAAGCGCACGCAGGCGGUUUGUUAAGUCACAUGUGAAAUCCCCGGGCUCAACCUGGGAACUGCAUCUGAUACUGGCAAGCUUGAGUCUCGUAGAGGGGGGUAGAAUUCCAGGUGUAGCGGUGAAAUGCGUAGAGAUCUGGAGGAAUACNGGUGGCGAAGGCGGCCCCCUGGACGAAGACUGACGCUCAGGUGCGGAAGCGUGGGGAGCAAACAGGAUUAGAUACCCUGGUAGUCCACGCCGUAAACGAUGUCGACUUGGAGGUUGUGCCCUUGAGGCGUGGCUUCCGGAGCUAACGCGUUAAGUCGACCGCCUGGGGAGUACGGCCGCAAGGUUAAAACUCAAAUGAAUUGACGGGGGCCCGCACAAGCGGUGGAGCAUGUGGUUUAAUUCGAUGCAACGCGAAGAACCUUACCUGGUCUUGACAUCCACGGAAGUUUUCAGAGAUGAGAAUGUGCCUUCGGGAACCGUGAGACAGGUGCUGCAUGGCUGUCGUCAGCUCGUGUUGUGAAAUGUUGGGUUAAGUCCCGCAACGAGCGCAACCCUUAUCCUUUGUUGCCAGCGGUCCGGCCGGGAACUCAAAGGAGACUGCCAGUGAUAAACUGGAGGAAGGUGGGGAUGACGUCAAGUCAUCAUGGCCCUUACGACCAGGGCUACACACGUGCUACAAUGGCGCAUACAAAGAGAAGCGACCUCGCGAGAGCAAGCGGACCUCAUAAAGUGCGUCGUAGUCCGGAUUGGAGUCUGCAACUCGACUCCAUGAAGUCGGAAUCGCUAGUAAUCGUGGAUCAGAAUGCCACGGUGAAUACGUUCCCGGGCCUUGUACACACCGCCCGUCACACCAUGGGAGUGGGUUGCAAAAGAAGUAGGUAGCUUAACCUUCGGGAGGGCGCUUACCACUUUGUGAUUCAUG
rnacentral:rRNA from 1 species